rnacentral:rRNA from 1 species
GAGUUUGAUCAUGGCUCAGAUUGAACGCUGGCGGCAUGCCUUACACAUGCAAGUCGAACGGUAACAGGUCUUCGGACGCUGACGAGUGGCGAACGGGUGAGUAAUACAUCGGAACGUGCCCAGUCGUGGGGGAUAACUACUCGAAAGAGUAGCUAAUACCGCAUACGAUCUGAGGAUGAAAGCGGGGGACCUUCGGGCCUCGCGCGAUUGGAGCGGCCGAUGGCAGAUUAGGUAGUUGGUGGGAUAGAAGCUUACCAAGCCGACGAUCUGUAGCUGGUCUGAGAGGACGACCAGCCACACUGGGACUGAGACACGGCCCAGACUCCUACGGGAGGCAGCAGUGGGGAAUUUUGGACAAUGGGCGAAAGCCUGAUCCAGCAAUGCCGCGUGCAGGAUGAAGGCCUUCGGUUGUAAC